UAGGGAAUCUUCCGCAAUGGGCGGAAGCUUGACGGAGCAACGCCGCGUGAGUGAUGAAGGUCUUCGGAUCGUAAAACUCUGUUAUUAGGGAAGAACAAAUGUGUAAGUAACUAUGCACGUCUUGACGGUACCUAAUCAGAAAGCCACGGCUAACUACGUGCCAGCAGCCGCGGUAAUACGUAGGUGGCAAGCGUUAUCCGGAAUUAUUGGGCGUAAAGCGCGCGUAGGCGGUUUUUUAAGUCUGAUGUGAAAGCCCACGGCUCAACCGUGGAGGGUCAUUGGAAACUGGAAAACUUGAGUGCAGAAGAGGAAAGUGGAAUUCCAUGUGUAGCGGUGAAAUGCGCAGAGAUAUGGAGGAACACCACUGGCGAAGGCGACUUUCUGGUCUGUAACUGACGCUGAUGUGCGAAAGCGUGGGGAUCAAACAGG
rnacentral:rRNA from 1 species